rnacentral:piRNA from 1 species
UCUUUCAUACGGUUGAAAAGUUGGCGC